ACAACACUGGCCAGGUCGACCAUAACACUCUCCCCACUGUGGAGAGCCCUACAUACUGCUCUCUAUGUACAGUCGUGGCCAAAAGUUUUGAGGAACAGUUUGGUGAUGAACAAUGCCUUUUCCAGCAUGAUGGAGCACCUUGUCACAAGGCAAAAGUGAUAUCUAAGUGGCUCGGGGAACAAAACAUCGAUAUUUGGGGUCCAUGGUCAGGGAACUCCCCAGACCAUAAUCCCAUUGAGAACUUGUGGUCAAUCCUCAAGAGGCGGGUGGACAAACAUAAACCCUCAAAUUCUGACAAACUCCAAGCUUUGAUUAUGUAAGAAUGGGCUGCCAUCAGUCAGGAUGUGGCCCAGAAGUUAAUUGACAGCAUGUCAUCAGUCAGGAUGUGGCCCAGAAGUUAAUUGACAGCAUGCCAUCAGUCAGGAUGUGGCCCAGAAGUUAAUUGGCAGCAUGCCAUCAGUCAGGAUGUGGCCCAGAAGUUAAUUGGCAGCAUGCCAUCAGUCAGGAUGUGGCCCAGAAGUUAAUUGACAGCAUGCCAUCAGUCAGGAUGUGGCCCAGAAGUUAACUGACAGCAUGCCAUCAGUCAGGAUGUGGCCCAGAAGUUAAUUGGCAGCAUGCCAUCAGUCAGGAUGUGGCCCAGAGGUUAAUUGACAGCAUGCCAUCAGUCAGGAUGUGGCCCAGAAGUUAACUGACAGCAUGCCAUCAGUCAGGAUGUGGCCCAGAAGUUAAUUGGCAGCAUGCCAUCAGUCAGGAUGUGGCCCAGAAGUUAAUUGACAGCAUGCCAUCAGUCAGGAUGUGGCCCAGAGGUUAAUUGACAGCAUGCCAUCAGUCAGGAUGUGGCCCAGAAGUUAAUUGGCAGCAUGCCAUCAGUCAGGAUGUGGCCCAGAAGUUAAUUGACAGCAUGCCAUCAGUCAGGAUGUGGCCCAGAAGUUAAUUGACAGCAUACCAGGGUGGAUUGCAGAGGUCUUGAAAAAGAAGGCUCAACACUGCAAAUAUUGACUCUUUGCAUCAACUUCAUGUAAUUGUCAAUAAAAGCCUUUGACACUUAUGAAAUGCUUUGUAAUUAUACUUCAAUAUUCCAUAGUAACAUCUGACAAAAAUAUCUAAACAUACUGAGGCAGCAGACUUUGUGGAAAUUGAUAUUUGUGUCAUUCUCAAAACUUUUGGCCAUGACUGUACACUACAAUCUGUGAAAGUAGA